UGUUGCUUGCAAGGGCGUAUGGUGGAUGCCUUGGCAGACAGGACCGAUGAAGGACGUUUGAGGCUGCGAUAUGCCUCGGGGAGCCGCCAACAGGGCUUUGAUCCGAGGAUUUCCGAAUGGGGGAACCCACCGACCGUCAUGGGUCGGUACCGGCUUCGGCCGGGGGGUACGCAGGGAAGUGAAACAUCUCAGUACCUGCAGGAAAGGAUAUUCCGUGAGUAGUGGCGAGCGAAAGCGGAUGAUGGCCAAACCUUGCGCGUGUGAUACCCGUCGGGGGUUGCGCGCGGGGUGUUGCGGGAUCGCGUGCGCCGGCUCCGACGGGCCGGCCGGCAGUUGCAGAAAACCAUGUGUCAGGGGAACCGGGUUGAAUACCGGGCCGCAGAGGGUGAGGGCCCCGUACCUGAACGCGCAUGGUCUGCCGAUCGCGUCUCCCAAGUAGCACGGGUCCCGUGGAACCCCGUGCGAAUCCGCCCAGACCGUUGGGUAAGCCUGAAUAUUCCUGUCUGACCGAUAGCGAACGAGUACCGUGAGGGAAAGGUGAAAAGUACCCCGGGAGGGGAGUGAAACAGUCUCUGAAACCGUGCGCCUACAAUCCGUCGGAGCCCUUUU
rnacentral:rRNA from 1 species